UACGUAGGACCCAAGCGUUAUCCGGAGUGACUGGGCGUAAAGAGUUGCGUAGGCGGCUUAGUAAGUGGAUAGUGAAACCUGGUGGCUCAACCAUUCAGACUAUUAUCCAAACUGCUAAGCUCGAGAAUGGUAGAGGUAGCUGGAAUUUCUAGUGUAGGAGUGAAAUCCGUAGAUAUUAGAAGGAACACCGAUGGCGUAGGCAGGCUACUGGACCAUUUCUGACGCUAAGGCACGAAAGCGUGGGGAGCGAACCGG
rnacentral:rRNA from 2 species